UGGGAAAGCUGCAACAGCAGACAUUUAAGGUUCAGAAGCAGGGACUGUCACCUGCCUGUACGGAUUCUGUUAAAACUAAGGAUGGAAGUUACUGGACCAGAGAGAGAAGUGCUUAAAAUUGCCCAUGGCGUCAGAAAUGCGACAACAGAUUGAUCUGAUGACCAGGCCGAGAUACACAGCAGAAGCACUCAGAAAUAUCCUUCCUCUAGGGGCACCUGGGUGGC